UUGCUCCAAUUUCUUUGGUUUCCCAUCUACUCGCUCCAUAGUAGGUGAAGGUAAGUUCGCUUUACCCUAAUACAGCCAAGUUCUCAUGAUCUCUCUGUUCGGUUGUUAUUGAGCUGUCCGUGAUAGAUCUUGCGCUAAGGGCUCCUUUUACGGCUGGAGACAGCCUGCUGAUCUCGGCAAUAGGGCUUUGAGAUUGGGAAUCUUCUUGUCCUGUGUUUCCUUGGCGUUGAUUUAACUUUCGUGUUCUUUUUUUUUUUAUGUUCAGUUAUGAUUUUGGUAAUCAAUGUGUUCGUAGCAAUGAAAAAUGCUACUUUUUAAGUGUGGUGUUCUAAGCAAUAUUUCUGUGUCACAAUUCUUUUCUUUGUUAUCCCAAAGGAUUUUAAAAAGAAAAAAAAAACUUUUGAAGGAUUAUCCUUUUUAGAUUUGAAUCAGAUAGCUGAGGAAUUUGUGUCUUGGGGUUGAAGUAAUUGACUGAUAGGCUAGAGUGAAUUUUUUUUGUUUAAUUUGAUCUGUGGCUAGACAAUUAUUUCGUCUAAGGCUUACAUUCUCGACAACAGGAAUCAUGCAGAGGCCAUUUCAAUCACUCGGGGAAUGCCAUCUUUCUUUGAGUAGCUUUACGCAAAUUAAUAGUUUGAUGUUCUUCUAGAUGUCACAACACAAUGUUGGAGCUUUGGUGGUGGUGAAAUCUGGGGUAGAGAAAUCGAUUGCAGGGAUUGUUACUGAGAGAGAUUAUCUACAUAAAAUCAUUGUACAGGGAAGAUCUUUCAAGGAAACUAAAGUCGGCGACAUCAUGACUGAGGAGAAUAAACCUAUCACUUGACUCCAGAUACUAAAGUUCUGCUAGCAAUGCAGCUGAUUGCAGAGAAACGAAUUAGGCACAUUCCCGUGGUUGAUGACAAAGGACUGAUUGGAAUGGUCUCCAUUGGUGAUGUGGUUCGAGCUGUUGUUAGUGAGCACCGCGAGGAGCUGAACCACCUCAAUGCUUACAGCCUACGGACAGCGGUUUCCUGUGAGUUGGUAUUUCUCUAGUCAUACAAACCUUCCUGUUUCCGAAUAAAUCUCCUUGGAUACUUGAGAUUUGGCCUUUUCAAUAUGCUUUUGAAUAAAAACACUAGUAGACUCGGACGAAGUGAAUUGUCGGAAAAUGUUGAAACUUCUUUUCAACAAUGUCUCAAAAAUUUUGAACAAGGCUGAGCUUUCCAGAACCUCAUUUUCAUAGAACUGCCGCCGCCUCUUCCCCUCGUCCACCGUUGCCUCCAUCGACCAGCAUUGGUAUGGCACAAGAUGACUCGUUGGUCAUGAAGUCCGAUAGGGAAGUCGUCGCAAGACACAGACAUCUUCUGCAUGAUCCUGCUCCAGGAGCAUGAUGAUGGAGAUACUCAUAGUGUUGAUGCAACAUGGAACCAUUAUAAAGUUACUGGAGCAAAAGUGGCGUGGUCGGCCAUGCGCAAUCUUUUGGCGUGCAUUAAAUUAUGCCAAUGUUUCAGUUCAUUUGGGCUCCUGUCUAUUUAUUAUAAGAUUGUUAGUGCGUUUAUGUCACUGAUCUUUAAACCUUUGCUAAAAUGUAUAGAUUGCAUAUCCAAAUUAAAUUGGACAUUUAAUUUUAA